AUUCAAAAAUAAAUUCAAAUUUGAUUUAAAUUUGGGAUAAGAUCAAAGCUUAUUUGAACCUGAACCAAAUCAUCCAAACUCUUCAUGGGAUGGCACUUUAAAAAGGGCUAAUUUUUUGUGCACCAUAUUAGAUCAGAUUUGGCAUGAGAGAACCUCAAAGAGGGGGCAUAAAAAAUCAGAAAGAGGGGUGGGCAUUCAUGUGUGAGAAAAAGAGGAAGAAGAUCCUUUGUAGGGCGUGAGAUCUAGGGUGGGACUUCUUGGGUUUCCUAGCUCCAGUUUUGCGAGAGAGAAAGACAAAAAGAGUUUUGUUCUUCUUCUUCCACACCAUCUCCUCUUUGAAAACCUCCAUCUUCUAAUCUAGAGGUAUUCAUUUGAUCUGAAGAAAGGAGUCUCCAUUAGCCAUCCAAAUCUUUUAUCAUGAGCUAGCACUUCAGAGAAGGACGAUCUAUUUGGGACUUCGAGUGGACUGCCUAUAGAGGCUGGAGGCACUGUGCGGCUGCUCGACAUUAGGAAGGACCUCCUAUCAUGUGCAUAAAUAGUGAUGAUCAUCAACUUAUGAUCAGAUAAUAGGUUCUGAACUCAUCGGAUCAGAUCUA
rnacentral:lncRNA from 1 species